UACGAAGGGGGCUAGCGUUGUUCGGAAUCACUGGGCGUAAAGCGCACGUAGGCGGACUUUCAAGUCAGGGGUGAAACCCCGGGGCUCAACCUCGGAAUUGCCUUUGAUACUGUAGGUCUCGAGUCCGGAAGAGGUGGGUGGAAUUCCUAGUGUAGCGGUGGAAUGCGUAGAGAUCCGGAAGAACACCGGUGGCGAAGGCGGCCCGCUGGGCUGUGGCUGACGCUGAGGCGCGACAGCGUGGGGAGCAAACAGG
rnacentral:rRNA from 1 species